rnacentral:rRNA from 2 species
ACGGGAGGCAGCAGUGGGGAAUAUUGCACAAUGGGCGAAAGCCUGAUGCAGCUAUACCGCGUGUAUGAAGAAGGCCUUAGGGUUGUAAAGUACUUUCGUUGGGGAGGAAAAAUAAAUAGAUAAUACCUGUUUAUCGUGACGUUACCCAAAAAAGAAGCACCGGCUAACUCCGUGCCAGCAGCCGCGGUAAUACGGAGGGUGCAAGCGUUAAUCAGAAUUACUGGGCGUAAAGAGCUCGUAGGCGGUUUUUUAAGUCAGAUGUGAAAUCCCUGGGCUUAACCUAGGAACUGCAUUUGAAACUAAAAGACUAGAGUAUCGUAGAGGGAGGUAGAAUUCUAGGUGUAGCGGUGAAAUGCGUAGAUAUCUGGAGGAAUACCUGUGGCGAAAGCGGCCUCCUAAAUGAAUACUGACGCUGAGGUGCGAAAGCAUGGGGAGCAAACAGGAUUAGAUACCCUGGUAGUCCAUGCCGUAAACGAUGUCGACUUGGAGGUUGUUUCCUUGAGAAGUGACUUCCGAAGCUAACGCGUUAAGUCGACCGCCUGGGGAGUACGGUCGCAAGGCUAAAACUCAAAUGAAUUGACGGGGGCCCGCACAAGCGGUGGAGCAUGUGGUUUAAUUCGAUGCAACGCGAAAAACCUUACCUGGUCUUGACAUCCACAGAAUUUUUCAGAGAUGAAAAAGUGCCUUAGGGAACUGUGAGACAGGUGCUGCAUGGCUGUCGUCAGCUCGUGUUGUGAAAUGUUGGGUUAAGUCCCGCAACGAGCGCAACCCUUAUCCUCUGUUGCCAUUGGUUCGGCCAGGAACUCAGAGGAGACUGCCGGUUAUAAACCGGAGGAAGGCGGGGACGACGUCAAGUCAUCAUGGCCCUUACGACCAGGGCUACACACGUGCUACAAUGGUGUAUACAAAGAGAAGCAACUCUGCAAAGACAAGCAACCUCAU